GAGGCUGUAGCUCAGUGGUCGAGUGUGUGCUUGGAUCCAAGCAUGAGGUCCUGGGUUCAAUCUCCAGCACCCCCA
rnacentral:tRNA from 1 species